rnacentral:rRNA from 1 species
UACGAAGGGGGCUAGCGUUGCUCGGAAUUACUGGGCGUAAAGGGCGCGUAGGCGGACAGUUUAGUCAGAGGUGAAAGCCCAGGGCUCAACCUUGGAACUGCCUUUGAUACUGACUGUCUUGAAUUCGGGAGAGGUGAGUGGAAUGCCGAGUGUAGAGGUGAAAUUCGUAGAUAUUCGGCGGAACACCAGUGGCGAAGGCGACUCACUGGCCCGAUACUGACGCUGAGGCGCGAAAGCGUGGGGAGCAAACAGG